GGAACAAAGCGUUCACGCGAUAAGACAUAUUUGUUCCAAACAUUUGUGGUUUUAUGUACACAUGAAUUUUAAUUCAAGUGGAAAUUGUAAUGCAGAAUGACAACAAAAGAAAAUGUAACGAGAAAUUUAAGUUCCAUGGCGUUUUUUUCAGUAUAUAUAAGUAUAUAGGUAUGUAAGUAUUUGCAUGGGCUGGCCACACUGAUCGCUAAAUAGAAGGAAACGCGCUGUUGAAGAAUUAUAUUUGAUCACAUUUGCUUUUGUAUUCAAAAGUCAAACCCAGGUCCCCUUAGAAACUAACAAAAAUUUAUUAUUGCUAUAGAGAGCAAACAAGUAACAACUAAAAACAAAAAAUAUCACACUCGUCAAAAAAUUGGAAAUUCUAAAUUUAAAAAAUUUUUGUAAAAGUUUUAUUUUAUAUCCAUUCAUAUAGAAUGGAAACACCAAAAUUCUCACGUCUAUUGCGAUAUUGAAUUGCGAGCCACGAGCAGAGCACCACUGUGGACGACCACCACUUUCAUGUCCCCAACUUGUUUCCCGAGCGUAGUACCAUGCCCGGGAUGAAGCCAAGACUUGGCUGUAGCUCCAAUUCAAAACUUUCUUCUUGUUUCUUCAGCAGUUCUAUCAUCAGCUCACGUCUGAUCCGCAAGUUGUUGAUUAUUAUCCUGCUUCCUACUGAAC